UGGACGAGAGCUCAGUCGGUAGAGCAGCGGGCUGUUAACCCGUUGGUCGACGGUUCGAGUCCGAAGGUGGGAGUAAUCGUCCCG
rnacentral:tRNA from 1 species